rnacentral:rRNA from 1 species
UGGGGAAUAUUGGACAAUGGGGGCAACCCUGAUCCAGCCAUGCCGCGUGAGUGAUGAAGGCCUUCGGGUUGUAAAGCUCUUUUGGCGGGGACGAUGAUGACGGUACCCGCAGAAUAAGCCCCGGCUAACUUCGUGCCAGCAGCCGCGGUAAGACGAAGGGGGCUAACGUUGUUCGAAAUUACUGGGCGUAAAGCGAGUGUAGGUGGUUGUCCAAGUUGGAUGUGAAAGCCUUGAGCUCAACUCAAGAAAUGCAUUCAGGACUGGAUGACUAGAGGACCGGAGAGGAUAGUGGAAUUCCCAGUGUAGUGGUGAAAUACGUAGAGAUUGGGAAGAACACCAGUGGCGAAGGCGGCUAUCUGGACGGUUUCUGACACUAAGACUCGAAAGCGUGGGGAGCAAACAG